AUUGCUUCUCGGGCUUUUGGCUUAGAUCAAGUGUAGUAUCUGUUCUCACAGGUUUAAUAAAAUGUUGCAACUAUUUUUUCUCUACAUUUUGUUUAUUGAGACACACU
ensembl:snRNA U2 U2 spliceosomal RNA